rnacentral:rRNA from 1 species
CCUACGGGGGGCAGCAGUGGGGAAUAUUGCGCAAUGGGCGAAAGCCUGACGCAGCGACGCCGCGUGAGGGAUGAAGGUCUUCGGAUCGUAAACCUCUGUCAGCAGGGAAGAACGGUCACUGUGCUAAUCAGCAGUGAAUUGACGGUACCUGCAAAGGAAGCACCGGCUAACUCCGUGCCAGCAGCCGCGGUAAUACGGAGGGUGCGCGCGGUAAUCGGAAUUACUGGGCGUAAAGCGCGCGUAGGCGGAAUGUCAAGUCAAGGGUGAAAUCCCCGCGCUAAACGUGGGAACUGCCUUUGAAACUGGCAAGCUGGAGUGUGUGAGAGGAUAGUGGAAUUCCAGGUGUAGGAGUGAAAUCCGUAGAUAUCUGGAGGAACAUCAGUGGCGAAGGCGACUAUCUGGCACAUAACUGACGCUGAGGAGCGAAAGCGUGGGUAGCAAACAGGAUUAGAUACCCGAGUAGUC